UACGUAGGGUGCAGGCGUUAAUCGGAAUUACUGGGCGUAAAGCGUGCGCAGGCGGCCUCUUAAGUCAGAUGUGAAAUCCCCGGGCUUAACCUGGGAACUGCGUUUGAAACUGGGAGGCUAGAGUGUGGAAGAGGGGGGUGGAAUUCCAGGUGUAGCAGUGAAAUGCGUAGAGAUCUGGAGGAACACCAAUGGCGAAGGCAGCCUCCUGGGCCAACACUGACGCUCAGGCACGAAAGCGUGGGGAGCAAACAGG
rnacentral:rRNA from 1 species